rnacentral:lncRNA from 1 species
CCCAGGUGCAUGGCUUUGCAUUUGUUUGCCCAUUUCUCUAUUCUGCCAAGGUCCCUCUGAAGGGCAGCACAAUCACCUGACACACAAACCACUCCUCUCUGCAUUGUACUGGCUGUGGAACACCUGUCUCUUCACUUUCAUCAAAUUCAGAGCACCCUCACUAACCAAAUAAGUUAUUGGUAAAGAAAGCCAAACAACUUCUCAGAAUAAAAAGAUCAUUUGUAAGCUGACAAUGAUUCCAGCUUCUAACCCAGCACUCAGCCAGCUAGCUUCUUGGACUGUAGCUCCCAAAACCUGGCACUGAGGAUGAAGGUGAGACUGCAAGCAAGCCUUAUGAACGCUUCCAUUUACAGUAACCAGAUGAUGGAACCUAUGUAACAACCUUCCUACAGGUCACUGAGACCAGGUAGGUGUCAGCCAGCUGAGAGACUUCAAAGAAUAAUGAAGAGGACAUCUGAAAUGAGCAAGCACACGACGGGUGCGGAGCAAAGACUUCAGAAAUCCCCCCAGGCCUUUCUUGGAUCACAUAGAAGAGCCCUGCCACACAGCAAUAAGUGUGGAGCCAGAUGUCUUCACACAGGGUUCCUACACUGGCAGCAAGAUUUGGGGGUUGAUCAGGACGCCCUGCUGCCACAAAAUCUUGCCUGGAUGAAAUCUUCAAAGAGAAAUGCUUCUCUGUGUAACAAAUAAUCACCACUGCUCCUACAGCGGAGUCCUGGGAAGAGCAGGGUGGCACUGGGGCUCCUGGGGUGACCUGGCUCUUUGGGGGCUCGGGAGAUGACUCAGGCACAAUUGCCGUACAGUUCUAACAGUCAGCUCCCUGCAAUUAACAGCAGCAGUUGUAGGUAUUUUAGCACAAAGCUUUCUUAACUCCGCGGUGUGUGCUGGGGUUGAAUGGAGCAAAGCCCUUGCUAUGCACCGAGUAGCCUCGCGCAUCCUGCAUCCCGGGCAGAACCCACACAGCACUGCCCUGCUGUUAGCUGUAAAUCCUGCUCUGGAGGUAUCCUGACAUGUCCCAGUUACUGAUAGAACAAAGUACUGAUGUGAACACUGGCACCUGGCAUUUACCAUAUUUGAGGGUAUAACUUUGUGAUAAACCACCUGAAUUUUAGAUUAUUUUCCAGAGGAAAUAGCGUAUCUAAUUUACCAGAAAAUAUGAUCCUCUUUCAUGUACUUUUGAUGGGAUUGCUCGUAUGCAAAUACCUCCUUAUCAUUUGUCCAUAAUCUGUCUAACUGUGGCAGAAUAAGGUUUUAUUAAUAAUGUUUGUGUGCCCAUGGCAUGGUGGCUGAGUCACCACUCGCAGUACGCAAAGUGGUAGAGCACGUCUAUUAAUAAACAUGAUAAACCCAUACCUUUGUGAGUAAAA